CAGCAGCCGCGGGAAAACGAAGGGGGCUAGCGUUGCUCGGAAUCACUGGGCGUAAAGGGUGCGUAGGCGGGUCUUUAAGUCAGGGGUGAAAUCCUGGAGCUCAACUCCAGAACUGCCUUCGAUACUGAAGAUCUUGAGUUCGGGAGAGGUGAGUGGAACUGCGAGUGUAGAGGUGAAAUUCGUAGAUAUUCGCAAGAACACCAGUGGCGAAGGCGGCUCACUGGCCCGAUACUGACGCUGAGGCACGAAAGCGUGGGGAGCAAACAGGAUUAGAUACACCAGUAGUCCCUGUCUCUUAUAC
rnacentral:rRNA from 1 species